GUGCCUUUCUUGGGUCCGAUUAUAUUAACGGGAAGGAACGAAGCGCUUUCCUUACAGGUGGCUGUCCAGUUUACCCGGCACCAUUUAUUGAAGAGACUAUCCUUUCUCCAUUGGGCUCAUGAAUGAAUAAAACACACUGCUGUGAAGUCUGUUCAUUAUCUCCUCGAACCCUGUGGUCCACGGAAGCAGUAGCAGAUCCCUUCCCCAAAUACUGUCCUAGUGGCUAAGCGGACACCUGCUGUCCUUGGCCACACGCUUUUCCUACAUGACUGUUUCCCUCAGAAGACAUCACUGAGAGGUCCCCUCUUCUUGGGGUUGCUGUGCAAGGACGUGGGCUGGCCCCAUAUGCACCUGGCCACCAUGCACUGGAGCCUGUGUCAUGCACAGGUCAUGACCAUGUGGCAUGGGAUGGAGGGAGGAUUUUCAUAGGAAGAAGGCUCUCCACAGGGCCUAGCCAGAGGUAAAGGAAGAAAGAUAUCUCUAUAUGAUACCCUGUCCUAUUUGGCUUCCUCCAAAAUAGGUCCUGAGGAUGUAAGUGCUGACAGUUUGUUUGGGAUGUAAUCCCAGGAAGCACUGGUAGUGAGUGGGGCCUGGAGGUGGCUGAUAAAGGCUGUGAUGUGCUAUCAAGCCAUUUGCCUCUGUAGGGAGUCUGGAGUCACCUGCACCCAAGGCAAGGAGCUGGACCACAUGUUUAGCUUUGAAGGAUGGGGAGUGAUGGUAUCUUGAUUGUGGUAGUGGUUCCAUUGGUGUGUACAUCUAUCAAACUUCAUCAAAUUGUACAUUUGAAAUCUGUGUAGUUUACUGUACAGGAACCAUACCACAAUUAAAGUGUUAAAAUAAUAAAAUCAUUAACCCCUGAAAAAUAAAUUACAAUACAGACAAUGGGUGUGGGUACUCCUGGCUUGUCUUGGGCGUGAACUGAGGAUGCCCCCAUGCCCAGAAAAUGGCCUUACCUGAGACUCCUAACAAACUUGAAUUAAUCUGUUAGUCUGAGGUCUUAACAUUUGCAAACAUUCUGAUCAGCCCUCUUUGUUCACCCUGGGGUCACACCCCGGCGUCUCACCCCGGCUAUCAGCUGAGCCUACGACCCUGGGGUCCAGAGCCUCGCAGGGGAGGGGUCAAGUCUGGGGUCUCACUGGGGUCUCACUGCAGCUCAGGCCUCUCCCCUCCCUCUGGUGGGCAGGUCUGGAGUCUUCCCUGACAUUCUCCCACUGCCUUCUGUUCUCAGGCAGGCUUGGACCUGGCUGUUCAGCCCUUCUGCGUUAGCUCCUACCCCUCUCUCUCCCCAUCUGCCUUUCUUCCCAUCUUCCAGCAUAUCCUUGACAUCUCUAGUCUGUGUUGUCCCCACUCAUUCUCUCUGUCCAGGUGAGUUCAUACCUUUAUUGAGUCCACUACUGCAUUUUUGUGAGGCCUUGAAGAGGGCAGAAGUAAACAUGAGUGUUAAAUCUACUAUUUUUAUUGAGUGUGUCUCUUUUUUCCCCUUGGAGAA